CCUACGGGAGGCAGCAGUGAGGAAUAUUGGUCAAUGGGCGCGAGUCUGAACCAGCCAAGUAGCGUGAAGGAUGACUGCCCUAUGGGUUGUAAACUUCUUUUAUAAAGGAAUAAAACGAGGCACGUGUGCCCUUUUGCAUGUACUUUAUGAAUAAGGAUCGGCUAACUCCGUGCCAGCAGCCGCGGUAAUACGGAGGAUCCGAGCGUUAUCCGGAUUUAUUGGGUUUAAAGGGAGCGUAGAUGGGUUGUUAAGUCAGUUGUGAAAGUUUGCGGCUCAACCGUAAAAUUGCAAUUGAUACUGGCAGUCUUGAGUACAGUUGAGGUAGGCGGAAUUCGUGGUGUAGCGGUGAAAUGCUUAGAUAUCACGAAGAACCCCGAUUGCGAAGGCAGCUUACUAAACUGUGACUGACAUUGAUGCUCGAAAGUGUGGGUAUCAAACAGGAUUAGAUACCCUGGUAGUC
rnacentral:rRNA from 1 species